rnacentral:lncRNA from 1 species
CAUUAAGAUUAUUUUUUAGAAAUGAGCAGCCAAGAUACAGAAGGCGACGAAGAAGUUUCUGCAUUUUUUCGAAAUGUUCAAGAGAUCAGAGCCGAAGAG